UACAGAGGGUGCGAGCGUUAAUCGGAAUUACUGGGCGUAAAGCGUGCGUAGACGGUUAUGUAAGUCAGGUGUGAAAGCCCCGGGCUCAACCUGGGAAUUGCAUUUGAGACUGCAUAGCUAGGGUGCGGAAGAGGGAAGCGGAAUUUCCGGUGUAGCGGUGAAAUGCGUAGAUAUCGGAAGGAACACCAGUGGCGAAAGCGGCUUCCUGGUCCAGCACCGACGUUCAGGCGCGAAAGCGUGGGGAGCAAACAGG
rnacentral:rRNA from 1 species